GAUGAACGCUGGCGGCGUGCCUAAUACAUGCAAGUCGAGCGAACGGACGAGAAGCUUGCUUCUCUGAUGUUAGCGGCGGACGGGUGAGUAACACGUGGAUAACCUACCUAUAAGACUGGGAUAACUUCGGGAAACCGUAGCUAAUACCGGAUAAUAUUUUGAACCGCAUGGUUCAAAAGUGAAAGACGGUCUUGCUGUCACUUAUAGAUGGAUCCGCGCUGCAUUAGCUAGUUGGUAAGGUAACGGCUUACCAAGGCAACGAUGCAUAGCCGACCUGAGAGGGUGAUCGGCCACACUGGAACUGAGACACGGUCCAGACUCCUACGGGAGGCAGCAGUAGGGAAUCUUCCGCAAUGGGCGAAAGCCUGACGGAGCAACGCCGCGGGAGUGAUGAAGGUCUUCGGAUCGUAAAACUCUGUUAUUAGGGAAGAACAUAUGUGUAAGUAACUGUGCACAUCUUGACGGUACCUAAUCAGAAAGCCACGGCUAACUACGUGC
rnacentral:rRNA from 1 species